rnacentral:rRNA from 1 species
GACGAACGCUGGCGGUGUGCCUAAUACAUGCAAGUCGAACGCUUCUUUCCUCCCGAGUGCUUGCACUCAAUUGGAAAGAGGAGUGGCGGACGGGUGAGUAACACGUGGGUAACCUACCCAUCAGAGGGGGAUAACACUUGGAAACAGGUGCUAAUACCGCAUAACAGUUUAUGCCGCAUGGCAUAAGAGUGAAAGGCGUUUUCGGGUGUCGCUGAUGGAUGGAUCCGCGGUGCAUUAGCUAGUUGGUGAGGUAACGGCUCACCAAGGCCACGAUGCAUAGCCGACCUGAGAGGGUGAUCGGCCACACUGGGACUGAGACACGGCCCAGACUCCUACGGGAGGCAGCAGUAGGGAAUCUUCGGCAAUGGACGAAAGUCUGACCGAGCAACGCCGCGUGAGUGAAGAAGGUUUUCGGAUCGUAAAACUCUGUUGUUAGAGAAGAACAAGGACGUUAGUAACUGAACGUCCCCUGACGGUAUCUAACCAGAAAGCCACGGCUAACUACGUG